AUGAGAAAGAAAAAUUCCAUUUCACACAACGAUUCAACAAAUACCGAUAACUCGACUAGACGGUCGCUUACAGAAACAAAGAUUGCGUUCGCCAACGUAACAGUGGUUGUAUCUGCAGUAUUCUGUAUUUGUUAUAUUCCUUUUUUGGUUCGAUUGCUGUAUGACGUCAUUGUAACAAAUGUGAAGACGCAGGAUGAUUUAUAUCAUUCGAUCACGAUGUCGUUAUUAUUUUUGGCACCAUUAUUGAAUCCAGUCGUCUACGUUAUUUGUAAUAAACGUUACCGUUCCUUUAUAGCUAAUUCUCUCAGAAGGAGAAUUUCUAAUUUGUGCUGGAAACGGUCAAAUAAAAUAGAUUUAACUGACAAUAAUUCAUCAUUAGUUUCAAAUUCAAAGAAGAUUACGACGACGUCUGUGUUAUAAGAAAAAAAAAAAAAAACCCAAAAAAACAAAACAGGAAAGUUAAUAUUUAAAGAGUACUGUAUGCAUUUCAUUAUAUGAAAUAUUUGAAACAAUUGUCACAUUAAACCUAGAGAUAUCUGAACAUAUUUUAAUAAUGUCAAUUGUU